ACGCUCGACACCUACGAGAGGCAGCAGUGGGGGAUAUUGCACAAUGGGGGAAACCCUGAUGCAGCAACGCCGCGUGUGGGAAGAAGGUUUUCGGAUUGUAAACCACUGUUCUCAGGGACGAUAAUGACGGUACCUGAGGAGAAAGCUCCGGCUAACUACGUGCCAGCAGCCGCGGUAAUCUGAGCGGGCUGGCAAGGC
rnacentral:rRNA from 1 species